rnacentral:tRNA from 1 species
GGCAACGUGGGCCGCGGGGACACGGUCGCCGUCAUCGGCUGCGGCGGCGUGGGCAACGCCGCCAUCGCCGGGGCCCGGCUGGCCGGUGCCGC